rnacentral:rRNA from 1 species
GACGAACGCUGGCGGCGUGCUUAACACAUGCAAGUCGUACGGUAAGGCCCUUUCGGGGGUACACGAGUGGCGAACGGGUGAGUAACACGUGAGUAACCUGCCCACAACUUUGGGAUAACGCUAGGAAACUGGUGCUAAUACUGGAUAUGUGCUCCUGCUGCAUGGUGGGGGUUGGAAAGCUCCGGCGGUUGUGGAUGGACUCGCGGCCUAUCAGCUUGUUGGUGGGGUAGUGGCCUACCAAGGCGGCGACGGGUAGCCGGCCUGAGAGGGUGACCGGCCACAUGGGGACUGAGAUACGGCCCAGACUCCUACGGGAGGCAGCAGGGGGGAAUAUUGCACAAUGGGCGAAAGCCUGAUGCAGCAACGCCGCGUGCGGGAUGACGGCCUUCGGGUUGUAAACCGCUUUCAGCAGGGACGAAGCUUUUUGUGACGGUACCUGCAGAAGAAGCACCGGCUAACUACG